CUGUGUAUGUGUAUGUGUCUGUGUGUGUGUUUUAGAAACAUGUGGUGGUUUGUGGUUGGCUGAAGCAAAGCUGAGACGGUCGACACACUCAGCAGUGACGCAACAUGAAAAAGUGACCCGAACCAACCAGCGACAGAAUAUCAACCCCAAAAUUCUUUGUAAAUUUUAAACCUUUUUAAAAAUAAGGAAUUAAACAGUCCAUAGCGUGCCGUUAUGGUGUUGAAGGAAAGGUCAGAUUUUCCACCCUGUCAGGUGAAACCGAUCAUGGAACAACAACAACAACAACACAAUCACAAACAAGACGUAAACAAGAAUAUUACUACAUGAGAUAGUACGGCUCGGUGAGAUCAGACACACGGAGCAGUACUUCACACAGGACAGUGAUGAAUAUGGAGGAUGACACUGAAACUAAAGACAUCAGCAGGAUUUUUCCAGAAGCUGCGGUUUAAAAACAUUUUGAUCCACCAGAAUAUAUUUCUGCACAUAUGCUGAUUCCAUUUGUAGCCCAACUUUUAUGCGAAUGGAAUAAAUUUCCAUUGUACAAGCAGAGGAACCAGCAUGUAGCACAAUAUACUGGCGUUUCUCGGCCGACUCUGUAGAUCUGUAGUGGUGUUUUUUCAUGUUUAUAUUCAUAAAUAGUUCAUUUCUAGACUUUGUCUGGUGAACCAAGAAGAAUCAACUGAUAAUGAGGUCAAUUUUUUUCAUUGUUUAAAACGAAUUAUAUGAAAACAUGAUAGAAAAACUUUAAA